GGAUUUAGUGUUUUACUAUUGGUAUUACGCUAUGAUCCUUCCACAGUGACACUUAUAGAAGCCUUUGCAGCCUGGCAACAGGUGCUCCAUGCGACAGUAAAUAAGUUGGACGAUGCAAGUCAUAAGAGUAAUCUUGUGGCGACAUGAUCGAAUUGACGGGGACAUCCUAAAGCUUGCCACACCAACUUUUCGGGGAAACUCGAGGAGGGCCUAUGUUAACUGCAUAGGAGGGUAAAAGAGGGCAAGAUAUUACAAUGGACAAUCCGCAGCGAAGACCCUAAGUGCACUGCAUAUGGGUAACGUUCACAGACUAAGUGGUUGUGGGUGGCACGAUGUGCUGCUUAAGAUAUAGUCGGGCCUUUAGUGAAAGCUAAGGGGUAAGUCACAAAGACGAUUAACCGUUCCGUAGGUGAACCUGCGGAAGGAUCAUUAAAAAGUUUCGGUCUAUAAGGCGUAAAACCCUCUAUAGACCGUGAACCCCCACCCUUGUGUAUUAUUUAUUUGUUGCUUUGGCAGGCCGCGAGCUUUACAGCGAGCACCGGCUUCGGCUGGAGAGUGCCUGCCAGAGGACCCAACUCUGUAUUUUAGUGACAUCUGAGUACUAUAUAAUAGUUAAAACUUUCAACAACGGAUCUCUUGGUUCUGGCAUCGAUGAAGAACGCAGCGAAAUGCGAUAAGUAAUGUGAAUUGCAGAAUUCAGUGAAUCAUCGAAUCUUUGAACGCACAUUGCGCCCUCUGGUAUUCCGGGGGGCAUGCCUGUUCGAGCGUCAUUAUGACCAAUCACGCAAGUGGUAUUGGGGCUUGCCAUACGGCAUCCCUUAAACGCAGUGGCAGUGCUAUAGGCUCUCAGCGCAGUAAUUAUUUCGCUCUCGAGUCCUAGACCCACCCGCCAAAACCCCAACUUCUUAGGUGACCUCGG
rnacentral:rRNA from 1 species